CCUACGGGAGGCAGCAGUGAGGAAUAUUUGUCAAUGGGCGCGAGCCUGAACCAGCCAAGUCGCGUGAGGGAAGACGGUCCUAUGGAUUGUAAACCUCUUUUGUCGGGGAGUAAAAUACGCCACGCGUGGCGUUCUGAGAGUACCCUAAGAACAAGCAUCGGCUAACUCCGUUCCAGCAGCCGCGGUACUACGGGGGAUGCGAGCGUUAUCCGGAUUUAUUGGGUUUAAGGGGUGAGCAGGCGGAAGAUAAAGUCAGGGGGAAAAUUGAGGGGCCAAACCUCAUAGAGCCGUUGAAACUGGUAUUCUUGAGUAAGUGAGAGGUAUGCGGAAUGCGUGGUGUAGCGGUGAAAUGCAUAGAUAUCACGAAGAACUCCGAUUGCGAAGGCAGCAUACCGGCGCUUAACUGACGCUGAUGCACGAAAGUGUGGGUAUCGAACAGGAUUAGAUACCCCUGUAGUC
rnacentral:rRNA from 1 species